rnacentral:lncRNA from 15 species
CAGGAGCCUUCGUCCACCCCAGACCCUCAGGUCUCAGCUGGAAAUGAGCUGAACCCUGAAGAAGAAGACAUGGCAGAGGACACAAACCUGCCAUCUUCUGCCACAGAGGAGAGUGUCGACACCAUCCUGAGAUCUGAGGAUGGAGAAGCUGUCCAGGAGCCUUCGUCCACCCCAGACCCUCAGGUCUCAGCUACAACUGAGCUGAACCCUGAAGAAGAAGACGUGGCAGAAGACCUGUCGUCUUUUGCCACAGAGGAGAGGUAUGAUAUUAUUUUACUGUCUAUUACAUCUCUUCUAACUAAUUAUACUCUACUAAUCCUUAAUUCAGUAUUUCACAAAAAACACAAAUUAAAAUAUAUGCAGAUUUUUGUGGUAGAAUUUCUUAUUCUUUCCUACCCCUUUAAUCAUUUCAUAACUGUGACUGGACCAUACAAUGCAAUAACAUCUGUGUUUCCCUUUAUCACCAGUGUCGACACCAUCCUGGGAUCUGAGGAUGGAGAAGCUGUCCAGGAGCCUUCGUCCACCCCAGACCCUCAGGUCUCAGCUACAACUGAGCUGAACCCUGAAG